rnacentral:rRNA from 1 species
GACGAACGCUGGCGGCGUGCGUAACACAUGCAAGUCGAACGCGGAACCCGCUUCUGUGGGGGAUGAGUGGCGAACGGGUGAGUAACAGGUGGGCAACCUGCCCCCGGCUCUGUGAGAAGUCCAAGAAAAUGGGGCCAAUACCGGACGCGACGGCUCGCCGCAUGGUCUUGUGGUGGCAAGGCUUUUCGGCUGGGGUUGUGCCCGGGGCCUAUCAGCUUGUCGGUUGUGUAUUGGCCUACCAAGGCGACGACGGGUAGACGGCCUUAGGGGUUGACCGGCCAGCCUGGGACUGACUCACGGCCCCGACUGCUACGCGCGGCAGCAGUGGGGAAUAUUGCGCGAUGAGCGGAAGCCAGAAGCAGAGACGCCGCGUGAGGGAUGACGGCCUUCGGGUUGUAAACCUCUUUCAGCAGGGACGAAGCGCCAGUGACGGUACCUGCAGAAGAAGCACCGGCCAACUACGUG